CAAUCUUUUGAAGGAAGCGGUCUUAUUUUGUGGUUCAAGAGCGUAUGUUGAAGGAGAUAAUGUGCUGAAGACAAACCACCUUAUGUACGUGGGAAUAACUUCAAAAAAAGCAGAAGAAAAAAAAUAAUGUGCUUGUGCUUGAAAAACUCGGAUUUGGUUGGCCCACCACAUGAAAUUCAUUUAAUUAUUAAUGUAGCUAAUAAAAUAAAUAUAUCUUGCAUAUGUUCUUGCAAAACAGGCCAAUAUGACAAAUGUAAACACAGUAUUGCCUUAUUAAUGCACUUAAUUAGAACGACUGUUGAAGACAUCGAAGAAUCAAGCUGUACAGACGUUAAACAAAAGUGGGGAAAAUUUAAAAAAAAAUGCAAAAUUGAUGU